rnacentral:rRNA from 1 species
UACAGAGGUCUCAAGCGUUGUUCGGAAUCAUUGGGCGUAAAGGGCGCGUAGGUGGUUCUGUAUGUCUACCGUGAAAGCGUACGGCUCAACCGUAUUUUGUCGGUGGAAACUGCAGGACUCGAGGCUGGGAGGGGCUGGUGGAAUUCCCUGUGUAGCGGUGAAAUGCGUAGAGAUGGGGAGAACACUCGUGGCGAAGGCGGCCAGCUAGACCAGUUCUGACACUGAGGCGCGACAGCGUGGGGAGCAAACAGG